rfam:Schistosoma mansoni strain Puerto Rico chromosome 5, complete genome
AUCCAACUGACGUCUCCCAGAAUAGGACGAAACGUGCGUCCAGGAU